rnacentral:rRNA from 1 species
GCCUUAGUAGCGGCAAGUAAAGCGGCAAAAGCUCAAAUUUGAAAUCUGGCACUUUCAGUGUCCGAGUUGUAAUUUGAAGAAGGUAUCUUUGGGUCUGGCUCUUGUCUAUGUUUCUUGGAACAGAACGUCACAGAGGGUGAGAAUCCCGUGCGAUGAGAUGACCCAGACCUAUGUAAAGUUCCUUCGAAGAGUCGAGUUGUUUGGGAAUGCAGCUCUAAGUGGGUGGUAAAUUCCAUCUAAAGCUAAAUAUUGGCGAGAGACCGAUAGCGAACAAGUACAGUGAUGGAAAGAUGAAAAGAACUUUGAAAAGAGAGUGAAAAAGUACGUGAAAUUGUUGAAAGGGAAGGGCUUGAGAUCAGACUUGGUAUUUUGUAUGUUACUCUUUCGGGGGUGGCCUCUACAGUUUACCGGGCCAGCAUCAGUUUGGGCGGUAGGAGAAUUGCAAAGAAAUGUGGCACUGCUUCGGUAGUGUGUUAUAGUCUUUGUCGAUACUGCCAGCCUAGACUGAGGACUGCGGCUUCGGCCUAGGAUGUUGGCAUAAUGAUCUUAAGUCGCCCGUCUUGAAACACGGACCAAGGAGUCUAACGUCUAUGCAAGUGUUUGGGUGUAAAACCCGUACGCGUAAUGAAAGUGAACGUAGGUAGGACCUCCUUUAGGAGUGCACUAUCGACCGAUCCUGAUGUCUUCGGAUGGAUUUGAGUAAGAGCAUAGCUGUUGGGACCCGAAAGAUGGUGA